UUGAAUGAUGAAAACAUGACAUGCGAAUGGCAUUCCUCGAUCUUAAUCACCAUGUGGAAUCUGUCUACUAUCAAGUUUCAGCCUUGUCUGACU
rnacentral:snoRNA from 1 species